AUGGGUCUUGCGGGCUGGGGAGUAUAUUGGGUUCCAGUGCAGUUGAGCAUGAUUUAUUGGCAGUAUACUACAAAAAUACAUUAUUUUUGGGUCAAGCAUAACAUUUUGGGCAUAAUUUUACGUGCAAUGCAAGUUGGCAAAACAGAUGAGAUUUUUUUCUUACUUCAGAACUACUUAAAUUUUUCUCUACUGUUUUCCCCUUUUGAUCUUUGUAAGAGAUAUUGGCACAUCAAUUUGAUAUUUUUAGCAUUACUGUUUAUAUUUAAUUUUGCAAGAAAUACUCAAAGUAUUGGGAUAUGA
rnacentral:rRNA from 1 species